AUUCCUUUAGUAUUAANAAGUACAGUUGACUUCCAAUCAAUCAGUUUCGGUGUAACCCGAAAAGGAAUA
rnacentral:tRNA from 1 species